UACGUAGGGUCCGAGCGUUGUCCGGAAUUAUUGGGCGUAAAGGGCUCGUAGGCGGUUCGUCACGUCGGGAGUGAAAACUCGGGGCUUAACCCCGAGCCUGCUUCCGAUACGGGCAGACUAGAGGUAGGCAGGGGAGAGCGGAACUCCUGGUGUAGCGGUGGAAUGCGCAGAUAUCAGGAAGAACACCGGUGGCGAAGGCGGCUCUCUGGGCCUUACCUGACGCUGAGACGCGAAAGCGUGGGGAGCAAACAGG
rnacentral:rRNA from 1 species